rnacentral:lncRNA from 1 species
UCUACAUUAUUUCUUAUGGGAAAAUUCGUUUCAGGUUACGACCCGUCUCUGGGAACGGAUUAAUUAAUUUGUAAACGAAGGUACCACUCUACUGUAUUUUAUAAUACUCAAAUAUAUAUAUCUUAUCUAAAGUGGGGGACGGAACAGGGAGCAUACAGCAUAGUGCAUGCUUUAAUGGAUUAAGGAUGAGGUAAGUAGAGGGUCAGUGCCAGCUGGCAUAUUUAGUAUCUCUUAUGUAUUUACAUAAUAAUUUGUUUCCCCGUGCUCUAUUUCUUUUCAUGUGUGUGGCGGGUUGGUUUAUUGGCUUUCAGUCUCAUUAUUGGGACUUAUCCUCUGCAUAGUACUUCUUAUUUCAGAAGUGUGAUAUUUAAAAAAAGUCCACCCUUAAUGUUUUUAAUAUUGUACUGUAUAUGUACCCCAGUCUGUAUAUGUUGUAUUAAGUGUGUUGAUAUGAGAGUAAGUGGCUUGGAUUAUGUUUACUAUUAUGAAGAAAAUGGUGUUUUAAAUGACUGCAAGAAACUAUAUUAGUUAUUACCUACAUUCAUUAUGAAAAAUUAAGAUAGGUCUUAAAAAUCUGAGUAUUAUGUUAUAUUCUAAGCCAAUUGAAAUCCUAACACAACAUGGCAUGAUUCUGAAUAGUGUGUUGUGAUGUGUUUAAUUAAGAUCAUAUUCAAUUGUUUGCUGUAAAUUCAGUUCUCCACUCAAAGCGUUAUAUAGGGAUAUUUAUACACAGUUGCAAAAACAGGUGCAACACAUCAUGUGCCCACUGGUGUAACCCAGUGGACACAUGUUGGGCAAGCAACAUUAAUUCAACAGUACUCGAGCAUGUUUUGUCCACUGGGAAGGAGUUGAUGUAUAAAAAGGAAUGGGUUCACAUGUGAGACUGUAGGACUUCACAUGUGAGGUGGUAGGAGUUCACAUGUGAGAUGGUAGGAGUUCACAUGUGAGGUGGUAGGAGUUCACAUGUGAGAUGGUAGGAGUUCACAUGUGGGGUGGGGAAAGCAGUGUUUUAUUGAUCUUUUUACUUUGUAUUUGGGUUAGAUAUUUUUAUUAACAUUUUAUAAUGCUCUUGCAUUUAAUUUAUGGUAAUUAAAAAAUUCUUCCAAAUUUAGUAAAGGAAUCUAGAUAUUGUGUGUUGCCCAAAUGCAUCAAUAAAAGUUUCUAUUUUUACUGUACAUAUAAAAUAUAAUUAGUCUCUCCAUAUUUAGCAAACAUUAUUUUCCUGGAAUAGAUCUUAUUUAUCCCAUUUGGGUCUGAACGUCAUUUUAAAAGACUCAGUUCCACACAGUAUCUGUAGGAAUGCACUUAUGUAAAAUAUGGAGCAUUCUGUAUUUUACAUGAUUGUAAUGUUCAUGAUGUGUCCAGGAAUGCAUCUCGGUAUAAAAUCUGGAAGGUUUGUAUUUUCAGCUUCAUUUGGAAGUCCAGAGUUUUAUCCAGUAGUCAGCUAGAAACUUUAUUAUUUUAUUCUUAUUUGAAAGGGUUUAAGCAGCAAGGGACCAAAUAUUACGUAAUAAUUAUGUUGAAUAUCUUUGUGCAGCGAAUUACAUGUUUACAUUUUGAGAUGCAGAAGAGUUUGCUUCUGUACAUUUAUUGUUGUUCAUCACAAUUAUUAGAAUACUGUAUGUUGAUGUAAAUAUAAAUAUAUAUGCAGUUAUAUAUACAGUAGCUAGAGAUGUAUAAAUUCUUAAAUUUAUAAAAUAGGAUUAAUAUAAUGGUAUGGGACAGGUUCAGUUUGGAGAAGAAAAUACCAUAUUUGCCGGCAUUUAAGAUACUUAUAAAAGGUAUUUUGUUGAAAAAUAUAAUCUUAGCAUGUUUCAUUGUACAUUUAUUGAAAGUGAUUUUAAAGUGCCGCUUUCGUAUUGCCACAUUCUUUCCCAUAAGCUACAGUAUCAAGCUUAAAUUAAACGUAAUGUUACAGCAAUGCAUCCUAUCUGCUGGAAAAUAUGGUAAGUUAUGAUUCUUGUUUAUAAUACUGUUACAUAUUUUCUAUUAGAUUUCUGGGGUUUCAUUUUGGUUUUGGUUAUACAAAUAAAUUUGUGACUAGUAUAUAACUUUGAACUGUGGUGAUCCUGUAACUGGAAUAUGUGGACUAUUUUUCCAUUAAUAAAUCUCAAUAAGAUAUGCUUUUCUCAUAAAAGGUAAAUUGUCAUUCAUCAAAAUAACAGGAAUUUAUAUUUUGCAGAAUAUUUGUAAUAUCCUCUAACUGGAAAUAAAGUACUGCAUAUUAAAUGAA